GGGAGAGAAGGGAUUGUAGUGUGGGUAGGGGAGAGAAGGGAUUGUAGUGUGGGUAGGGGAGAGAAGGGAUUGUAGUGUGGGUAGGGGAGAGAAGGGAUUGUAGUAUGGGUAGGGGAGAGAAGGGAUUGUAGUAUGGGUAGGGUGGAGAAGGGAUUGUAGUAUGGGUAGGGGAGAGAAGGGAUUGUAGUAUGGGUAGGGUAGAGAAGGGAUUGUAGUAUGGGUAGGGGAGAGAGUGGGUAGAAGUGUGGAUAGUAUGUUGUUGGCUAUUUGAAGGUCAUUGUUUUUUAUAUAAGCCCCAGGACUUUCAAUUUCCAUGGACACAUAGGAAACAUACCUACACAUUGAUGAAUGGACGGUUAGCAGCUGAAAUAUCAGAUACGAGAUGAGACAUCUCUAUGAAAUAGGAAACAUACCUACACAUUGAUGAAUGAACUGUUAGCAGCUGAAAUAUCAGAUACGAGAUGAGACAUUAUCUCUAUGAAAUAUCAAUGUGUCACAGUCUUAAACGCUCAUCUUUGAAAAAUCCAACCGUUUAAAAAAAAAAAGUCAUUUAGAUUCAACAGGUUGGCAAGGAGCAGCAACGUUUGUCAGACCUAAUCCUAGUGAGUAAAGAGGAGUUCAUGUUGACCCAUGUCAGUUGUCAUAGUGACCCGAGAUGUUAACCCGAACCCGGCUGUCCACUUGGCCUGAUUGCACUUUUAUUGAAGUGCACUUUAACAAACAUACAUUUUUUCUGAUGGCGGAGGAUCCCUGUGCUCAGAAUAUGGAUGCACGUAUGACUAAGUCGUUUGGAUAAAAGCGUAUGUGUAUUAUAAUAUUUAGCUUACUGAAAAGAGCGUUUAAAAAAUUAAAAAUUAGUUGCCACGGGAACCUGCUCGUCUCAAACGUCUAGAUCUUGAUUCGCUCACUUGAUUUACUCACUUCCCAACUGCAUUUGAUAACGUUAAAGUAGUUUUUAUUUGUAAUACUAUUGUGACUUGUUCAGUUUGGUGUAUCCACGGUGUAUCCACGCUCGCUGUUCUCUGGCUGGGAGUCCUGAUUAUAAUAUCCUUUGUACGAUUAUUGUUUUUCAGAAAGCAAUAGGAUGAUUUUUCUCCCCCAAAUAUUGUUGUUUAUAAGCGUUUUGUUUGAACGAGUGUUCUGAUUAGCGCAACAGCAUUUCAACCUUUUAAAUGUGACCCUCUAUCCACUCAUGUCUGGGUGUGUGUGACACCAGCAGUUAUAUUGUGCAUUUAUUUGCUUGAAAAACACGUUUUAUUCAGAGUAAUGUAAUUUUGACUAUGUACCCAUGAUUAUUCAGGGAGCUGAGAGGAAAAUUAUGACAGUUUCCACCUGAUGAAGAUUUUUGUAUAAUAUUGCUAAAUGCAAAUAAAUAAAACACUGGAUGAAACUUUG
ensembl:lncRNA